AGGAGAGAGAAUUAAGGCCAAACGGAUCUCAAACAAUUUCCGAUAAAGCUACUUCCGUCCUGGAAAGCUUCAAGAGAGUUCUUCACAAUAAAAACGAUGGCGUUUGGAAGGAAUUUGCAGCGUUUUGGGCACCGGCGAAGUUGCAGAUGGCCGGAGGGAGGAAGAAAACGGGGAGAGUAAGUGGGUGUCGUGUGGAUUACCAAUGAA
rnacentral:misc_RNA from 1 species